UACGUAGGGUGCAAGCGUUAAUCGGAAUUACUGGGCGUAAAGCGUGCGCAGGCGGUUGUGUAAGACAGAUGUGAAAUCCCCGGGCUCAACCUGGGAACUGCAUUUGUGACUGCACAGCUGGAGUGCGGCAGAGGGGGAUGGAAUUCCGCGUGUAGCAGUGAAAUGCGUAGAUAUCAGGAGGAAUACCGAUAGCGAAGGCAGCUUACUACAGGAUGAUUGACGCUGAGGCACGAAAGCGUGGGGAGCAAACAGG
rnacentral:rRNA from 1 species